GUCUACAUUCACUUUUGUAAUUUAGUUUCGGUUAAGGCUACGAAAGAUAAAAUUUGAACUAAUCAAUUUCUGUGGGACGAUAUUCAGACUCAUUUAAUCCACUUUAUUACUUGUUAACGAACCGUACACUUGUGGUAGUUUUAAAUCGAAAGAAAAUAUUUCGUGAACAACCACAAAUCCUUUCUUUUGAUUAGGAGAGGUCCACAUGUCAGUAGUAAUCAAACUUUGACUAUCAAUCUUCUCAAGUGCAAUCAUAUUUUUUUUCUUUUCUCGUAUUCAUAGAUUUUUAAAAUGACGCUUUUCAAAGUAUUGCAAGAAGGAACCUUAGGUUGCAGGUCGUGCAAGAACUCUCAAAAUCCAAUGUGAUCAAUUUCCUCUUUCCGAAAGAUAGUUUUCCAACUAGCGCUCCUCGUCAUUUAGGUUUAUUGGCCUUUCAUCCGCAUUUGGUAACGGUUCAGCGGGAUCUUCUUGUGGGAUAUUGCUCAUUGAUAUAUUGGUCGUCCUAUCUUCCUUGCGUAUUGGUCCUAAUCCAAUACUUCUAGCACUACUUGGGCCAAACAUCUGUACAAAUAACAAAUGACAUUAAAUACAACGAAUUUUAU
rnacentral:lncRNA from 1 species